UCCCUGAUAGCUAAGUCAGUAAAAAAUCUGCCUGUAAUGCAGGAGACCCUGGUUCAAUUCCUGGGUUGGGAA
rfam:TPA: Bos taurus chromosome 9, whole genome shotgun sequence.